rnacentral:rRNA from 1 species
GGAGCAGAGGAGCUUGCUUUUCUGCUUAGUGGCGAACGGGUGAGUAACGCGUGAGUAACCUGCCUUAAAGUGGGGGACAACAGUUGGAAACGACUGCUAAUACCGCAUAAGCCCACGGCCUGGCAUCAGGCUGAGGGAAAAGGAUUUAUUCGCUUUAAGAUGGACUCGCGUCCGAUUAGCUAGUUGGUGAGGGAAUGGCCCACCAAGGCAACGAUCGGUAGCCGGACUGAGAGGUUGAACGGCCACAUUGGGACUGAGACACGGCCCAGACUCCUACGGGAGGCAGCAGUGGGGAAUAUUGCACAAUGGAGGAAACUCUGAUGCAGCGACGCCGCGUGGAGGAAGAAGGUUUUCGGAUCGUAAACUCCUGUUGUCGGGGACGAUAAUGACGGUACCCGACAAGAAAGUGACGGCUAACUACGUGCCAGCAGCCGCGGUAAAACGUAGGUCACAAGCGUUGUCCGGAAUUACUGGGUGUAAAGGGAGCGCAGGCGGGGAGAUAAGUUGGGAGUGAAAACUAUGGGCUCAACCCAUAAAUUGCUUUCAAAACUAUCUUUCUUGAGUAGUGCAGAGGUAGGCGGAAUUCCCGGUGUAGCGGUGGAAUGCGUAGAUAUCGGGAGGAACACCAGUGGCGAAGGCGGCCUACUGGGUACCAACUGACGCUGAGGCUCGAAAGUAUGGGUAGCAAACAGGAUUAGAUACCCUGGUAGUCCAUACCGUAAACGAUGAUUACUAGGUGUUGGGGGAUUGACCCCCUCAUUGCCGCAGUUAACACAAUAAGUAAUCCACCUGGGGAGUACGACCGCAAGGUCGAAACUCAAAUGAAUUGACGGGG